UACGGGGGGGGCAAGCGUUGUUCGGAAUUACUGGGCGUAAAGGGCUCGUAGGUGGCCAACUAAGUCAUACGUGAAAUCCCUCGGCUUAACCGGGGAACUGCGCCUGAUACUGGUUGGCUUGAGUUUGGGAGAGGGACGCGGAAUUCCAGGUGUAGCGGUGAAAUGCGUAGAUAUCUGGAGGAACACCGGUGGCGAAGGCGGCAUCCUGGACCGGUAUUGACGCUGAGGCGCGAAAGCCAGGGGAGCAAACGGG
rnacentral:rRNA from 1 species